rnacentral:rRNA from 1 species
UACGUAGGGUCCGAGCGUUGUCCGGAAUUAUUGGGCGUAAAGGGCUCGUAGGCGGUUUGUCGCGUCGGGAGUGAAAACUCAGGGCUCAACCCUGAGCGUGCUUCCGAUACGGGCAGACUAGAGGUAUGCAGGGGAGAACGGAAUUCCUGGUGUAGCGGUGGAAUGCGUAGAGAUCCGGAGGAAGACCGGUGGCGAAGGCGGCCUGCUGGGCAGUUACUGACACUGAGGCGCGACAGCGUGGGGAGCAAACAGG